rnacentral:rRNA from 1 species
AACGAACGCUGGCGGCGUGCCUAACACAUGCAAGUCGAGCGAUUUACUUCGGUAAAGAGCGGCGGACGGGUGAGUAACGCGUGGGUAACCUGCCCUGUACACACGGAUAACAUACCGAAAGGUAUGCUAAUACGGGAUAAUGUGCUUUUGUCGCAUGGCAAAAGUAUCAAAGCUCCGGCGGUACAGGAUGGACCCGCGUCUGAUUAGCUAGUUGGUAAGGUAACGGCUUACCAAGGCGACGAUCAGUAGCCGACCUGAGAGGGUGAUCGGCCACAUUGGAACUGAGACACGGUCCAAACUCCUACGGGAGGCAGCAGUGGGGAAUAUUGCACAAUGGGCGAAAGCCUGAUGCAGCAACGCCGCGUGAGCGAUGAAGGCCUUCGGGUCGUAAAGCUCUGUCCUCAAGGAAGAUAAUGACGGUACUUGAGGAGGAAGCCCCGGCUAACUACGUGCCAGCAGCCGCAGUAAAAC